rnacentral:rRNA from 1 species
UUGACCUCAAAUCAGGUAGGACUACCCGCUGAACUUAAGCAUAUCAAUAAGCGGAGGAAAAGAAACUAACAAGGAUUCCCCUAGUAACUGCGAGUGAAGCGGGAAAAGCUCAAAUUUAAAAUCUGGCGGUCUCGCGGCCGUCCGAGUUGUAAUCUGGAGAAGCGUCUAUCCGCGUCGGACCGUGUACAAGUCUUCUGGAAGGGAGCGUCGUAGAGGGUGAGAAUCCCGUCUUUGACACGGACAACCGAUGCUUUUGUGAUGCGCUCUCGAAGAGUCGAGUUGUUUGGGAAUGCAGCUCAAAAUGGGUGGUAAAUUCCAUCUAAAGCUAAAUAUUGGCGAGAGACCGAUAGCGAACAAGUACCGUGAGGGAAAGAUGAAAAGCACUUUGGAAAGAGAGUUAAACAGUACGUGAAAUUGUUGAAAGGGAAACGUUUGAAGUCAGUCGCGUCGGCCGAGACUCAACCUUGCUCUUCGCUCGGUGCACUUCUCGGUUGACGGGUCAGCAUCAAUUUCGACCGCCG